UACGGAGGGGGCUAGCGUUGUUCGGAAUUACUGGGCGUAAAGCGCGCGUAGGCGGCUUUGUAAGUUAGAGGUGAAAGCCCGGAGCUCAACUCCGGAACUGCCUUUAAGACUGCAUCGCUAGAAUUGUGGAGAGGUGAGUGGAAUUCCGAGUGUAGAGGUGAAAUUCGUAGAUAUUCGGCGGAACACCAGUGGCGAAGGCGGGUUGCUGGGCCGACACUGACGCUGAUGCGCGAAAGCCAGGGGAGCGAACGGG
rnacentral:rRNA from 1 species